ensembl:lncRNA
AAGUGAGAAGCAGAUAUUUGACAGUUCCUGGGGUAGCUCAGAGAAUUAACAUUUGUGCGUGCUCAGUCUCUCAGUCAUGUCCGACUCUUGGCGCCCUCAUAGACUGUAGCUCACCAGGGUCUUCUGUCCAUGGAAUUCUCCAGGCAAGAAUAGUGGAGUGGGUUGCCAUUUCCUCCUCCAGGGGAUCUUCCCAACCCAGGGAUCAACUCCAUGUCUCCUGCAUUGGCAGGCAGAUUCUUUACCCCUGAGCCACCUGGGAAGGCCAGAGAAUUAACACAGCAGCCCAACAACCCACUCCAGUUGCCCACACAGAGGCCAGUGCGGGUGGUGUCAUUGAACUGCAGUUUUCUGUCAUUUGUCAUUGCUGUUCCUGCUCCAGUGACAUCCAGGCUUGCUCCACUGUCAAGUUUCAGGUUCCCCAAGGAGAAUCUGCUUCCAGUGAAGUGUGAGAGCAACCAGCCACAGUAAUAACUGCUGUGACCUGAGAAGAAAAGGGAAGAACGCGUUUCCCUCGCGCUUGCGAGCCUAGGACAAUCCAUCCAUCAUUGGCCGCAGACCACACGGGAUCUGCCACCUGAGGAUCCAGCGACACCCCCGGCCUUGCUUUGGCUCCCUCACCCCCAACAUGCCUUCUCCCACCCAUGACCUCUGGUUCCCUCCUGGCAACAGGGAGACUUUCAGUUUGGGGCCAUUCUUCCUCCUCAUCAAUGUUUACUGAGCAGAAGCAGUGACUUCAACCCCGAGAUGCCCACAGAGCACCCCCGGUUUCACUUCCCUGCCCUGCCUCCCCAGCCUGCUCUUUGUCAGCAGGGUUACAUUUCCAGUUUUCCCUGUGGAGCCCUGGGUGCCCCGCCUACGGUCAUAAGAGGGUAGAGUUGACAGAGCUGCAGAGACCAUCUCUUUCCACCGAGUUUACAGAUG